rnacentral:rRNA from 1 species
CUUUAACGCUGGCGGCAUGCUUUACACAUGCAAGUCGAACGGCAGCGCGGGCUUCGGCCUGGCGGCGAGUGGCGAACGGGUGAGUAAUACAUCGGAACGUGCCCAGUAGUGGGGGAUAGCUCGGCGAAAGCCGGAUUAAUACCGCAUACGACCUGAGGGUGAAAGCGGGGGAUCUUCGGACCUCGCGCUAUUGGAGCGGCCGAUGGCAGAUUAGCUAGUUGGUGGGGUAAAGGCCUACCAAGGCGACGAUCUGUAGCUGGUCUGAGAGGACGACCAGCCACACUGGGACUGAGACACGGCCCAGACUCCUACGGGAGGCAGCAGUGGGGAAUUUUGGACAAUGGGCGAAAGCCUGAUCCAGCAAUGCCGCGUGUGUGAUGAAGGCCUUCGGGUUGUAAAGCACUUUUGGCGGGAACGAAAAGGACUGUGCCAAUACCACGGUUCGAUGACGGUACCCGCAGAAUAAGCACCGGCUAACUACGUG